AGAGGGGUGCAAGCGUUAAUCGGAAUUACUGGGCGUAAAGGGUGCGUAGGGUGGUAUGUUAAGUCAGAUGUGAAAGCCCUGGGCUCAACCUUGGAACUGCAUUUGAAACUAGCAAACUAGAGUAUGGUAGAGGGAAGUGGAAUUUCCGGUGUAGCGGUGAAAUGCGUAGAUAUCGGAAGGAACACCAGUGGCGAAGGCGACUUCCUGGACCAUAACUGACGCUGAGGCACGAAAGCGUGGGGAGCAAACAGGAUUAGAUACCCUGGUAGUCCACGCUGUAAACGAUGGGAACUAGAUGUUAGGGUGCUUGCACUUUAGUAUCGUAGCUAACGCGUUAAGUUCUCCGCCUGGGGAGUACGGCCGCAAGGUUA
rnacentral:rRNA from 1 species